UACGUAGGGGGCUAGCGUUGUCCGGAAUCAUUGGGCGUAAAGAGCGUGUAGGCGGUCCGGUAAGUCCGCUGUGAAAGUCGGGGGCUCAACCCUCGAAUGCCGGUGGAUACUGUCGGGCUAGAGUGCGGAAGAGGCGAGUGGAAUUCCUGGUGUAGCGGUGAAAUGCGCAGAUAUCAGGAGGAACACCGAUGGCGAAGGCAGCUUGCUGGGACGGUACUGACGCUGAGACGCGAAAGCCAGGGGAGCAAACGGG
rnacentral:rRNA from 1 species